CCGAGUGUAGCUCAGUUGGUAGAGCGAUUGACUGAAGUGUUCUAUACUGUGUUUCAUUAUUCUCGGAAAUCAAUUGGUCGCUGGUUCGAUUCCGGCCACUCGGA
rnacentral:tRNA from 1 species